UACAGAGGGGGCGAGCGUUAUUCGGAAUUAUUGGGCGUAAAGGGCGCGUAGGCGGCCUUUCAAGUGACGGGUGAAAUCCCUCGGCUUAACCGAGGAACUGCCUGUCAGACUGGAAGGCUUGAGACCGGGAGAGGUGAGUGGAAUUCCUGGUGUAGCGGUGAAAUGCGCAGAUAUCAGGAAGAACACCAAUGGCGAAAGCAGCUUUCUGGGACGGUACUGACGCUGAGACGCGAAAGCGUGGGGAGCGAACAGG
rnacentral:rRNA from 1 species